rnacentral:lncRNA from 1 species
GCGGCUGAAGAGGAAAAAAGAAAAAGAAGGAAGAAUCAGCUAAGAAAAAAAAAGAAAGAAAAAACCGCAUCUCGUCUCUUGCAGCCGCCUAUUAAAAAGGGGAGGCAGCAAAAGGGUGAAGCAGAAAAGGAGAGAGAGUCGGGAGCUAGAAGAGAAAGCAGCGACCAAAUUUGCAUACGCAGCAAGUGCAAGUAGAGGUGAAAGGAAGCAAACGCGGUGGAAAUAGAGAGAAGCUGAG